ACAGAGCUCCUUGUUCUUCUCGCUGAAGACAGCCCACUCAUUCAGUUUCUCACUAACUUGCUGUCGACGUAAGGAUACCUUAAAAUAUUUAGAAUAAAGAAGUAAAUGAAUUUAAGAGACAGCUGAAGCACUUUGUGCCUCAGUGUAAACUCCUCUGGAUCUGCAGAUGAACUGUAGGUGCUUAGUUCCAUUACAACAAACUGGAUUUGUAUUGCAAAAACUUUGCAAGACUCUUUGAGAAUUUAGAGGUUCACAGAUGAUACUGGUAUGGAAGAAGUGGUUGAUAUUCUGCAGAGCAGAGCUGUCAUUCAGAGAAAGCUCAACCAGAUGAAGGAAUAUGCUUGUGAAUCCUCAAGAAAUUCAGCAAAGCAAGAGGUAUUAUGGAAAAUAAUCUUAUAAACAGAGAAGAAUAACCAAGAAUUAAAGCAACCUUUUAGGACUCUUGUGAGGACUGAAUAUAUUGAUGAAUUGAUUAAUCUGUAAAGCAGUGCAUACUUUCCAUUCAAGAACAGGCUAUGUGGAAAACUCAUGAAAUCUUAUUUGCAAAGUGCAUUUUGUUUUUGGACAAAAACUACAUCUAACAAGGUGCAUACUGCUUUUGAUUACCUGGAUAUUAAGGUAAGUAUAUUAAAAAUUAAAUUCCUGCCAUACCUAAACAGUAGAGUAAAAUUAAUUUCCGUUUCUUUUCCACUGUAUCAAAUGUUACUCCGUUCUAAUCAGUGUACAAUUCUAACAUUUCCACAAUAAGUUUUUGUUUGUUUACUUGUUUUUACUUAAAUCAGUUCUACUUUACAUAUGCAUACAUAUUUAACAGAGAUAAUCUGAAAAUAAAAUCUAUAAUAUUUCCAUGUUAUACCUUGUAUUUUUGGACAUAAUCCUGAAUGGCUUUUUGUCCUAUUACAUUUUUUAUACUCUCCUCAUCUUUAUGAAUAACAUUUUCCAUCAGGGAAAUCCAGCUCAUAACUUCAGUGAUAGCAUGGCGAGAAGGAAUUUUGUCCAUCUGCAGCUGUAGAGAUAACAGAAUUCAAAUAAAUGCUGAGAAGAAAAUUGACAAUAAUUCAUUGCUUUGCAUUAUGAGGAGCCUUAUGAGGAGUGGCUGAAGGAGCUGGGAUUGUUCAGUCUGGAGAAGAGGAGGCUCAGGGGAGACCCUAUAUACUGCUCCCUAUAACUACUUGAAGGGAGGUUGUAGUGAGCUGGGGGUCAGCCUCUUCUUGUGACUAGUGAUAGGACUAGAGGGAAUGGCUCAAGCUGCGCCAGGGAAGAUUCAGGCUGGAUGUUAGGAAAUACUACUUCUCUGAAAGGGUGGUCAGGCACUGGAAUGGGCUGCCCAGAGAGGUGGUGGAGUCACCGACCCUGAAGGUGUUCAAGGAACAUUUGGAUGUUGUGUUGAGGGACAUGGUUUAGUGAGGACCAUUGGUGAUGGGUGGAUGGUUGGACUGGAUGAUCCUGUGGGUCUUUUCCAACCUUGGUGAUUCUAUUACCAUAGUACAUAUUCUUUUCCUUGCUUUUACUCUCAUUAUUCUGCACCCCAUAUAUAUUACUGAAAUUCAUAAAAUAACGAAGUGGAAAAAAAAAAAAUUUGAAAGCUCUCAGUACAAGAUAUAAUGUAUAGCUUCACACAUCUUUAUAAGAAAGCAUUAUAUUAAAGGCUUCUUAUUUCCAUUCUUCAUGAUACAAGCCUAAAGAUUCCAUUUUGACUUUGUCUUCCACAGUCUUGGACCCAGUCUUCAGAUUUUGAACAAAAACAUCUGAAGAAAACAAGCUGACAGGAGGCAGUACAUUUUUCCAAACAGUACAUCAAUGUUUUUUUAAAAAAGCCUACCUGCUUGUCACUUAAAAUUUAACAAAUGCAACUGGGAAAGUUUGAAAGUAGCAUUAGUUAGUGCUAGGCAGUAUGGGUAGACAGGAUAUAGACAUGAGUGUUGGCUUUUCCACUCUAAAGUGAACAUAAUGUUGUUCCUAUCUUUUCUCAAAUGGAUAAAGACAAUCAGAAAGCAACCAACUUUCAGAGAAGGAGACAACUGUAUGGUUUGAAUUUUCUGGAAUAUUAGAGGCCUCCAUUGUUCUUUCUUACCUGGUGCAAUUUCUCUUGUACUGCUGGGAUUUGUGUGAGCAGCUCUGUCCACUGACUGUCAAUCUGGGACAAUCCUGCACGCAACGCUGCUGUAUCUACCUUCUUCAAUCUGAGGAGCUGGUUCCCAGUACUCAGUACAGAAGAUUUCUGUGAUGAUUUAGCAUCCACUUCUUUUGAAAACUCC